rnacentral:rRNA from 1 species
UACGGGGGGAGCAAGCGUUGUUCGGAUUUACUGGGCGUAAAGGGCGCGUAGGCGGCCACCGCAAAUCGGUUGUGAAAUCUCUGGGCUUAACCCAGAAAGGUCAACCGAUACUGCGGGGCUAGAGUGCAGAAGGGGCAACUGGAAUUCUCGGUGUAGCGGUGAAAUGCGUAGAUAUCGGGAGGAACACCAGAGGCGAAGGCGGCGCACUGGACAGCAACUGACACUCAACUGCGAAAGCGUGGGUAGCAAACAGG